AAGAAAGGGGGCUCCGGCCCCCAGACCUCCCGCCCGUGUCUACCGACCUCUGUUGCUUUGGCGGGCCCGUGUCCGGGCCGGUCCCGGCGCCUUUUGAAAGCCCGUCAAAAGCCCACACAAACUCGUUUACCGGUGAUGUCUGAGUAACAAAAACAACAGCUAAAACUUUCAACAACGGAUCUCUUGGUUCU
rnacentral:misc_RNA from 1 species